rnacentral:rRNA from 1 species
CCCUUAGAUGUUCUGGGCCGCACGCGCGCUACACUGACGAUGGCAACGAGUUUUUCCUUCGCCGAAAGGUGUGGGUAAUCUUUUGAAACAUCGUCGUGCUGGGGAUAGAUCAUUGCAAUUUUUGAUCUUGAACGAGGAAUUCCUAGUAAGCGCGAGUCAUCGGCUCGCGUUGAUUACGUCCCUGCCCUCUGUACACACCGCCCGUCGCUACUACCGAUUGAAUGGUUUAGUGAGGACUCCUGAUUGGCGCCGCCGCCCCGGCAACGGAGCAGCGGACUGCCGAAAAGUUGUUCAAACUUGAUCAUUUAGAGGAAGUAAAAGUCGUAACA